GAAUCUGGGAGGACCAUCUCCUAAGGCUAAAUACUCUCUAGUGACCGAUAGUGAACCAGUACCGUGAGGGAAAGGUGAAAAGCACCCCGGAAGGGGAGUGAAAUAGAACCUGAAACCGUGUGCUUACAAGUAGUCAGAGCCCGUUAAUGGGUGAUGGCGUGCCUUUUGUAGAAUGAACCGGCGAGUUACGAUUUGAUGCAAGGUUAAGCAGUAAAUGUGGAGCCGUAGCGAAAGCGAGUCUGAAUAGGGCGUUUAGUAUUUGGUCGUAGACCCGAAACCAGGUGAUCUACCCUUGGUCAGGUUGAAGUUCAGGUAACACUGAAUGGAGGACCGAACCGACUUACGUUGAAAAGUGAGCGGAUGAACUGAGGGUAGCGGAGAAAUUCCAAUCGAACCUGGAGAUAGCUGGUUCUCUCCGAAAUAGCUUUAGGGCUAGCCUCAAGUGAUGAUUAUUGGAGGUAGAGCACUGUUUGGACGAGGGGCCCCUCUCGGGUUACCGAAUUCAGACAAACUCCGAAUGCCAAUUAAUUUAACUUGGGAGUCAGAACAUGGGUGAUAAGGUCCGUGUUCGAAAGGGAAACAGCCCAGACCACCAGCUAAGGUCCCAAAAUAUAUGUUAAGUGGAAAAGGAUGUGGCGUUGCCCAGACAACUAGGAUGUUGGCUUAGAAGCAGCCAUCAUUUAAAGAGUGCGUAAUAGCUCACUAGUCGAGUGACACUGCGCCGAAAAUGUACCGGGGCUAAACAUAUUACCGAAGCUGUGGAUUGUCCUUUGGACAAUGGUAGGAGAGCGUUCUAAGGGCGUUGAAGCAUGAUCGUAAGGACAUGUGGAGCGCUUAGAAGUGAGAAUGCCGGUGUGAGUAGCGAAAGACGGGUGAGAAUCCCGUCCACCGAUUGACUAAGGUUUCCAGAGGAAGGCUCGUCCGCUCUGGGUUAGUCGGGUCCUAAGCUGAGGCCGACAGGCGUAGGCGAUGGAUAACAGGUUGAUAUUCCUGUACCACCUAUAAU
rnacentral:rRNA from 1 species